rnacentral:rRNA from 1 species
AAUGAACGCUGGUGGCAGACCUAACACAUGCAAGUCGAACGGUCUAUAUUAAACUUCGGUUUUUUAUAGAUAGUGGCAAACGGGUGAGUAAUGCGUGGGAAUCUGCCCUAUAGUACGGAAUAGCCGUUGGAAACGACGAUUAAUACCGUAUAUCUUCCGAGGAAGAAAGACUUGUCGCUAUAGGAUGAGCCCACGUUAGAUUAGUUUGUUGGUAGGGUAACGGCCUACCAAGACUGCGAUCUAUAGCUGGUUUGAGAGGAUGAUCAGCCACACUGGAACUGAGAUACGGUCCAGACUCCUACGGGAGGCAGCAGUGGGGGAAUAUUGGACAAUGGGCGCAAGCCUGAUCCAGUCAUGCCACGUGAGUGAUGAAGGUCUUAGGAUUGUAAAACUCUUUUAGCAGGGAAAAAAUGAUGGUACCUGCAGAAAAAGUCUCGGCUAACUUCGUGCCAGCAGCCGCGGUAAU